rnacentral:rRNA from 1 species
AUCGAACGCUGGCGGCAUGCCUAACACAUGCAAGUCGAACGAGUGGCGGACGGGUGAGUAAUGUCUGGGAAACUGCCCGAUGGCGGGGUAUAACUACUGGAAACGGUAGCUAAUACCGCAUACCAUCGGAUGUGCCCAGAUGGGAUUAGCUAGUGGGUGGGGUAACGGGUCACCAAGGCGACGAUCCCUAGCUGGUCUGAGAGGAUGACCGGCCACACUGGAACUGAGACACGGUCCAGACUCCUACGGGAGGCAGCAGUGGGGAAUAUGGCACAAUGGGCGAAAGCCUGAUGCAGCCAUGCCGCGUGUAUGAAGAAGGCCUUCGGGUUGUAAAGUACUUUCGGCGGGGAGGCGGUACUCGCAGAAGAAGCACCGGCUAACUCCGUGCCAGCCGCCGCGGUAAUAC